UUUAAGUGUAACCAUGACUCGUAUUUAACUUUAAUCAUUUAUCUUAUUUAAGAUUUUUUUUAAAAAAUAAAAACAUAAGUCAUGAAUAAAUUAUUAUUCAUAUUUUAUCAUCUAAUAACAAACAAAAUGCUAAUCAUGAAAAAAAUUAAAUAAGAUGGAUGGUCAAAGUUAAAAAUGAGAGGAAGGAAGUAAA
rfam:Oryza rufipogon genomic scaffold, chr11